rnacentral:lncRNA from 1 species
UCAUGUUAUUCAGCUGAUACAAACAAUUCAGAAACUUCAGAUAGAUUCAUAUAGUAAUAGUAGUCAUCAAUCUGUACGAGUGAAAGUUUUCUGUUGCAGUGGGUUCCUAAAGAAGCAGACCUUCUAAUCACAUCUGCAACCUAUUCUUCAAAUGGUCAGUCAUUAUAUGUUAGCUUCAAAACUGGAUGUCUAAAGUUUCUUGUCUCUACAACACUAGAUGUAAGAUGUCAGAUUAAUGUAACUGCUUACAUACACAACCCCGUACCAGCUGAAGACUGUUAAACAAAGAGCAAUUUGUAGCUCCUCUUCUAUCUCCAUUCAUCCCAUUAAAACUGUUUUAUAUAUGGUUUACAGGUCUACCCUCUUUUUAUUGCAGCUCAUCCAUCUAAUAACCCAAAUCAAAUAGCAUUGGGGCUUAGUAAUGAUAGGGCCCACAUUCUUGAACCCCUAGAAGCUGAAGAAUGAGGUGAACCACCUCCACAGCAGAUGCUAGGAGUAAAGCAAAUGUAAGUGGAUAAAUCUGUUUCAGGGUGACAAUCGCAGCAGGUUUUUGUUGCUUUUGACUUCUUUUGCAUAUCUUAUCAUCAGGUAACCAUCUUUUUGCACCUAGCUAUUGGUGUGUGGGACGAACCAUCAACAGUUUAAAUAGGUGCUAGUAAAAGGGAGGGAUUGGUAAGGUUUUGGGUUUGGGAUUUGGUUUCCCAUGUUGAUAUCUUUUCACCCUUAACUUGUCAAUAUAUAAUACAUAAUUUCUUCUGUUCCUUCUUUUCUUGAAUUUUUGCACAUGAAUCAAAUUGUUCAGAGAGAGGAAAUUGAUUUUCCAUGUUUGUAGAAUCUACUUAUAAUGAAGCGGUUUCAUCAUUAAGCACAUCAAUAUCAUCUUAAACAAAUAGAUGAAGCAAAGGUUUAUAAUAUUAAAUUUAAUUACUUCGAAAAAGAAACCAUACAACUUAAUGUCUCCUUUGUAAUAAAUGAGGUAAAUUUAAAGUAGUUUGCACACACAUAGCAACCAUAGGGAGUAGGCAUAUGCAGUCUCACAACCAUCAAAGUAGGCAUAAGUCUUUAACCCAUGGCAUAUUUCUGGGUCCAGGAAUGAGCAGUAGACUCGUACUUUGCUCUAUCAGUCUUGUAUGUAUGUGCAAUUUCUGGUACCAAAGGAUCAUCUGGGUUAGGAUCCGUCAGCAACGAGCAUAUCGACAAUAAGACCUGCAAAAAUUUUGUUCAUGACCAACCGGUUUAGAAAGGCUGACACAUAUCAGGUGAAAAUAAAGAGGGAAAGGGUAACAAUGGAAGUUACCUUUGAGACUGUAAGGGCAGGACUCCACUGCUCUUUCAAAAUGUCAAGACAGAUGCUACCAUUGCUGUUGAUGUUUGGGUGAUAAACUUUUGUCUUGAAGGCCACCUGCGCAAACUCAUUGUAAAGACAGGUUUACUCACUCAUCGGUGUAUAGGAUAACAAUCUUAAUCUAAUUCAGAUAUGAUCAAUUGUGUUGCUUGUUACCUUCGGUGGCUUGAAGGGAUAAUCAGGAGGAAAGUGAAUUGACACCAAAAACACCCCGCCAGCAUAAGGGCUAUCUGCUGGACCCAUAAUCGUUGCUUGCCAAUGAAACAUGUCAUCUCCAAUAGGACCUAUGAACAAGACCAAGCCAUUGAAUCUAUAUAUGAACAAGACAAGCUAAAAACACUAUUCUUCAAGCUCAUAAACGUUUUUGUCUUCAAAACUUGUCCUCAAAAACAAUUCUAGUUGAUCUAUAAGACACCAAAAUCGAUAUAUGUAAAUAGAACGAAAUAUAUUAACGAAACAAAGUCUGAAACAAACCUGCACUGCAAGAAACAGGAGGAUCCUUCUGCAGAUCUUUCAACUCCUUGGUGAUCCGUUUAGAAGACAUUGACGAUUUGUUUAAAAUCUGGGAAUUGAAACAAAGAAAUUAUCACCUUUGGAAAGAUAACAAAAUUUCUUAUAGUCAGGAAAAACAAACAAUUGUACUAAUUGGACCCUGAUUGCAUAUUCUUUACUUCUAUAUAUAAAGGAUGAAUAGUUUAAAAAGCCUCAAAAUUUGAUUUUUAGUUUUAUAAUUUAGACUUUUAUCAAGAAUCUCACCUGAAACAUAUAAGAAAACUAAUCUAAUUAAUGUAAAGCCUAAACCCAGAAUCUAAGAUCUGUAAUACAUUAACAAAAAGCUGAUAAAAAACACAAGAAGCAAAGAUCACUCAUACUCUAUAAACCCUAAAAACACUCUCAAUAGAUUCUUGAUGAAAUCUGAAUAAAAUAAUCUUAAAUAGUCAUGAAGCAUAUGAGAAAAAACCAAUCAAAAAGAUCAUUCAUCAGAAUCAAGAAAACCCUUAUUUAAUUUAUACCUUUAAGGGUCUCCCAAGAAACACAAAAGAAAAGAAGAAAAACCCUUUUUAAUAUGAAGGAGAGAGAUAGAGACAAAGAACUAACCUAUCUAUAUCUUUAUAUCAAUCUUGUCGCUAGGGUUUGAGGUAUAAGUGGAGGAGAAGGUUUUAUGAAUUGUACAAGAGCGUGAGAUUGGUGACUUUAUAUAAGGGUUUGGUUUCCUACGAGACAUAUGCUCCUUUCCAUGCACAACUCUCCUCAAACUUAGAUUUCCAUGUACAUAUCUAAUUCUGAAAUUUGAAUUGUUUUUAAAGUGAAAAUCUUGAAUUUUUUAUUUUAAAAAAUAUAUAUUAAUUAACACAUUUAAAAUAAAGUUAUAUAUAUAUAUAUAUAUUAAUAUUGUAGUCUUGAUUUUAAUUGAGACAAAAAAAAAGAUUUCAAAAUUUAGUUCUAAUUUAUUAAUUUAAGCUAUCAUUGAUAUAUAGGCUGUAACAUUAAGACGGAACGUGUUUCUUUUGUCAUCUAUAUUAAAUUAUGAAUCUUCGAAUGUAACUUACUCGUAUAAAUUAAUUAUGAUAAAAUUUUCAUUUAAGGUUAAUUGAAUUGAAUUAUAAUAGACGAUAUUAUAAAUAUCGUUAAUAUUUUAUUUCUAAUUGCUCUUUAUAUUAGUAUUACCUUUCUUUAUUUCCUCUCAUAAUUUAGAAAACUAACAUGGAUGGUUUGUAGUCGAUACAUGUAUAUAACAGUGGCAGAGCUAAGUUGGUGGUGGCGUUCAUCUUCAGUUUUUAAUUUUUUUAUUAUUAUAUGUAUAAAAUUUGAGAUAUAUAGAUUUAUUGUCUCGUAUGAUUACUUUUUAGCCAUCUCUCAUGUAAAAUCUUAAAUCCGUUAAUAUAUAUAUUAUUUUAAAGAAUUCAUUGUUACUGCAAUAAAUUUUCUUGUUGAAGGUUUUUUGUUAGCUUAAUUUAUAAUUUUUUUUUUGUUAGGCUAAGAAUGGAUUUUGGUUGGUGACGGAGUAUUCUUACUCGUCUUCCUUAGAAAUUUCUAUUGUUGAAACUACGAAAGGAUUCCUCUUGCUAGCAGAGAUUCCUGCCAUUGUUGCUCACAGAUCAAGACCCAUGGCAAAUUCAAGUGCCCUUGAACCCAAUUUUUUUUUUUUUUUUUACGUUUAUUAUACUAGAUCUCUGGGUUUUUAGUGUGGAUCUUUAAUGUCAAUCAAGAGAGAGAGAGAGGGGGCGGGAGGUUAUAGAGAAAAAUAAAGGAAAAAGUUCUGUUUCCGUGGUUUUAUUGUCACAUGUAAUAAGUCAGUGUUAUUAAAUAAUAAUAGUAAGAUGGACUCAUAUUUAGUUUAAGUCUGGCCUUCUCAAUUAUUUGUUACAAUUAAUAGAGAGCAAACAGUCAGUUCAACCUUUUCGGUGGAUUAUGAUCGAAAAUCGAAUUAUUCGAAUUUUUUUUUAAAAACGAUUGACUGAAUUGAUCGAAUUAUAUGAUAAAAAAAAUUCCAAUUAAUUAAUCUAUUUUAUUUGAAAAAUUGAUAGAACCGACUAAACCAUGAGUUCUACCUACGGCCAAAUAGUUAAUAGUUACAAUUCCCCACUUUUAUUACUUGGCAAACCCGAUUUAAACGUACUAAUUGCUAUUUCUUGAGUUAUUACCUCCAAAAAAUGGCUAGGGUAGAAGUUUUAAGUUCCUAAACACUCUGUGAUCCAUAUUCAACAUCAUGUCCAAAGGUUACAGCUCUAGCCUCGUUAUAUAUAUAGAACCCUUCAGCUAGGAUCUUGGCAGGAACCAAAUUGGGAGAAAUACAAGAGAAAGAAGAAAAUAGGAACAACAAAAGAAAUAUAUCCUAACAAGUUUGGAAAUGGCCAGCACCAAGACAACACUUGUACUUGCUGUUCUUUGUCUUCUCUUAUAUCUGAGGUACCAUGAUUUUAGGGUUUGUGAGCAGUUUUUGUUCGUAGUCUUAGAUUUCCCUAAACAGCAAUUAAUCAUUUCUUUAUGAUAAUAUUAUUAGGUGGGAAUCAUAUAUAUGCUUGAUAAAACAUUUACAUCUGAGUAUUUGGUUCAUUGGUUGGUGCACGAUUCAUUGUUUAGAGAGUAUGAUUCGAAUCCUCUGCUCCCAAUUAAAAAAAAAAAUACUUGAUAGAGUAUUUGAAAUUGUGUGAUUGAUGGUUCAAUAAUGUGCCUUUUUGAUUCUAUAUUUAGAUUGCCAGACCAAGUGUGCCUUCAUGGAAAUAGAAACAAGUGCCCUUGAGCUUCAAACAAGAUUAUUUCUAUAUAUAUUAAUGCAACCAGCUCUCAAAGGAUUUGAUGUUGGUCAUUAGGAGAGAUCAUAGACUUAACUAUUAUGUUUUUAACAAUUGAAAGUCAAAAAAAAAUUCUGUGUUUUAAGCAAACAAAAAGGUGCAAUGUGUUUUUAGUUAAUUAAAGAAUUUUUAAGUGAUGAAUCAUGUACCGAUAUGUGAAAUUGAUGAUGUAAUUUAAGUCAAUUAUAUAAUUAAUUAUUAAAUAAUUAAGUUUCAAAGAAUUUAAGAUAAAUACACUAGGUUUAGUUAAUUAAAUUUAAAAAAUUUGUAAUUCUAUCGAUCAAAAUUCAUCGAUGAGUAUUCAUAUUUAUCUUUAAUUAAUUAAAAUAAUUUAAAGCUAAUAUCAAAUUUUGACUAAUUAUAUUUUAAAAAUCAAUAGAUUAUCAAAUUAAAUUUCAGCAUAGAGUCAUCAUAUUUAUCUUUAAUUUAAUUAACAUCCUAAUUUUGUUCUCUAAAUCAAAGCCGGUCAUUUUUAAUGAACCUAAGUUAAAUUUAGAAUUUUAUUUAAAAGGAUAGAUUUAAUUAGCUAGUUAUGUCAAGACAGUUGGUUUUGUUUACUGCCCCAAUGUGAUUCAUGGAAUGAAACAAUUCUUUUAUUGCUAGAAAAUUAAAGUAUAAUAAAAUUUCUAAGAAAUCCUUUUUUAAGACUACCAAAAACAAUGUUUACCUUCCAAAGCUAUAAACCUAGUUUUAUAAUACAAGAUUCCAAAAUAAAAUAUGAUUAGGAGUCAACGUAGAACAAAAAGUUUAAAAUUAUAAAACUACUCUAUGUUGUAUGUAAAUUAGAAUUCUAAUUAAAUAAAAAUUUUAAAAUUAUAAAACUACUGAAAGUUGUAUGUAUAUUAGAAUUCUAAUCAAAUAAAAGUUUCGAAUCUUAAGAGACUCAAACAAGCUGUUUUCAUCAGGUAACUUGAACUUGUAAUGGAGCAUGAUUUCAUGCUAGGUCGGAUAACGUAGGAGGAAUAAGAGACUUACCCAGGACAAACGCAUGACCCCUAACAUAUACACUUACAUCCGAGGAACAAAGGAAACCUUAAAUUGCAGUUUCAGUUAUAGUUGUUUCUGAUGUUUUUGCAGAUCUAUUGGCAGCUUUGAUUGAAACUUUAAGCAGAGACUUAGCUCCUUUCUGCAUGAAUAAUAACUUGAAAUAAAAACUAAUAAAGUUUAAGCAAUAAUGAAAUUUGAUCAUUGAAAUGAUGAUCCUGAACAGGCAAUCCCAAAUGAGCACUAAAUGCUAGUAGUUCAAAGUAUAGAACUGGUGGGAAUAUUUUCCCUUAUUACAGCAGAUGGUAGAUAUCCUCAUGAUCCAAAUAUACCUGAUUGUGGGUUUGAAAUCAGGGGCACUUGGGCUUAUUCCCAUGUGUUUUGAGCCUUGCAUAGCAGGGACAGGCAUGCUUGUGGCCAUAAGUAACGGGUGGAACGCAGUGACAUCUCUUGCAGCAAGUCUGGCAUGCUCUGUGGCAAAAAUUCUUUCUCGAUGCUUUCCUGCAUCUCCUGGAGCAUGCAUAGUUGGAAUCUGAAUUUUCCCAAAAGAAACAACAGAAUUUUAUAGUUUACUUUCUUUAACGAGCAUAAUUUUGCUAUCGGCUUCAAUGACUCUUCUAUCCGAAUACAUUGUCUCUGCUCUCUAACAUUGUCAUGACCCGGCACUCUCUUCGAGCCCGUGAACAACCGUCGUGAAGUCUUGGUAAAUAUUCAUUACGCGGUAUAUCAACCGAAACCUCGCAAGACUCUAGCAUCAGUUUUCCGCCUCCCCUGUGAGAAGCAGUUACUAAAUAUCAUAUUUAAAGGGAAUAUAUACUAUCUUUAAAUCAAAGACAAUCAAAAAGUAAUUUCUACUGCACAGGGGUAUUUUUGUCAUUUUACCCAAAAAUUUCGAAACCUGCUUAAAAUAUAAUAUAUAAAUGAAAAAUAUACAUUUCAUAUCUAAAAAUCAUCCAUUUAAAGUGAAAUUAUAUCUAAUCAAACUAAAUAAAAAUAUUGAAUAAAAUAUUCCACUUUCAUAUGAAACAAUAUUUAUAAAAUUCUACGUAAAUAGUUAAUAAAAAGUAAUAACAAAAUAAAUUCAUAUAUAGAAUAGCACACUACGCCAAGGUAUAUAAAAAUAUUCUACAAUGACAUGUGAGCCCCAAAAUAACAAAAAUAAACACGACUGUAAACCUAUGAUUUCUAAUGGUACGAAUCCAAAAGCAAACCCUCGACAAAAUCGAUGGUCUACAGAUUGCCCUGAGCCAGAAAUGGGUGAAAUAAGGGUGGUGAGUUUUUAUAAACCCAGUAAGUAAGUAAAGUUCAUCUAUAACAUCUAAAGCCGAGUAAAUGGAGACAAUUAAAACUUCUCAUCAUAAUAUGAUUCAUAACCUUAAAACUCAUUUCAACCCAUAUAAAACAGUUACAUUUCAAAAAACUUUCAACAAGGCUUAUGACUCUCUUAAAAACUUGGCUCGUGCCAAAACUUGUACUCGGUGACACCUUGUGUAGGGCAUCCAACCGAGUUCACCAAGGCUGUUAAAAUAACAAAUACACAUAAAACAUGUUUUUAUAUUAAAAAAAAACAUAGUCGUUCCUUGGCAUUGGCUAAGUUUCACCCUCACGUGGUGGUUCGCCGUGAAGUGAACUCUAAACUACCUUAGGAGAUACCCACCGUGCCUCUCAUACUAAGGUAAAAUAUGAUGGGAUUUACCGUGCCCCUCUAAUAGGCCGGCCCACGAAAACCCGCCUAUUGCAGCAAGCUAAUCAAUUACCCCACCAAAUCAAUAAAAUUUCGGCAGUAUGACAUGGCUAAUAUGAUAUUACCCAGCCUGUCAAGGUAAAACAAAACUGUUCAUAUAUUCCACAUAAACACAAAUCUAGCCAUUCAUGCCAUCACAUUGUCAUAAGCCAUCAAAUUGUCAUAAGCCAUCAAUUCCAACCACAUGUCAAUUACAAAUCCCGUUAUGCCAAUACAUUUAUUACAAAGCAGGGUCGGCACAACUAACAAUAGUCAAAACAUAUAUAUAACACAAGUGUAUAGUCUCCGCUUACUCAAUUUCCAAAACCAGGAUUCAAUUUCAAACCAAAUUAUGAAUCUCAUUUCAUUUAACCAACACUUCAGUUAUAAAACAUAAUAGUUUACAAUUUAAGUUCUUUAUUCUUUAAAAUCAUAAAAACGAGUAUAAACUACUUUAGAUAGUUAAGAUGAUAGUAUGAUUACUCACAAUAACGAGAGUACUCCUACUCCUGGUCCUCGUGUACGAUAUCCUUACCCUUACCAGAGGGCUCACCAUCUAUACCUAAUACACAACAAGUAAUUCAAUACAUUUGUGCCAAACUAUUAUAAAACUAUUCCAGGCUCUAUAUGAAUGCAUGAAAUUGAAUGAGAAAUGUUCGAAUAAUCACUUAAAGAUGGUGUUCUACGUAGGUUCAAUUGUUAUUGGACUAAAAUGGUAUUCAACCUAACUUGCACUAUACACUGUUUAAUUAGCCAAAACAUCUUAUUCAACUCCAAAUAGAUUCAUUACACUUUCGAUACUCCAAAUACAACCAAAGUACCUCAAUGAACUUGAUUGUGACUUAAAUGAUCACAUCCGAAACUCAUUUCGAUUCCAAGCUAACGUGCUAAUCAGUGUCAACACAGUCCAAUAAGUCUGUAUAUAUCAUUAGAAAUCAAAUUCAAGUCCAUUUACCAUGAUUUUCUCAUAGUUGUUCAAGUCGUUUACUAAAGGCACUAUACUUUUUCGAUAACCAUUGUCGAUAUCCGACACCAUAAAUCAUCAAAUACGAGCUAAAUAAUAUGAAAUAUAACAAAAUUCAUCAUCAACAUAUCCCCUAUUAAAUUUGGCUAAGGAGGGUUUAGUGAAGGACAUGUGGUUUUCUUGCUUGUUUUUCAUACCGAAUAUCACAAAACAACUAAAAACACCUAGAUAGCAUGAAAUCUAACAAAAGCCAUCAUCAAAACUUCCCCCCCUUGAUUUGGCCAACAUGACUUCCUUCAUGAAAGUUUGGGUUUCAACCAUAGAAAAUGAAAAAGAAAGCAUGGGAGAGGUGAAUCUUAAGCUAAAAUCGCGAAAUCUUACCUCAAAUCGCUUCGUUCUUCGAUAACCGAUAAAUUUCUCUUGAAUUUUCUUCCUCAAGGGUUGUUUCUAUUCUUUUCCCCCUUUUCUUUGGCUUCCACGGCAAUGAAAGAAGACUUGGGAGAGGUUUAUGUUGAUUUAUAAAGAAAAUUAUAAAAGAAUUAAAGCUUGACACGUGUCAACAUGUGAAUGGUUCAUAGUUAAAUCUUAACUAUUAAGCAUUUUCUUACCACCACAUAUAAUACCUUAAUUAUCCUAAGUAUAAAAUGAUAAUAGGUGAAAUUCAUGGGCUUGACAAGUGUCACGGUGGUGUAAAAUUUUAAAAUUUCCUAUUACGUCCUCAUGGACACGUGGAAUGAUCGGUUUUCCCUUAUUCUAGGAAAAAUGUCGGAAUUGGAAUUUUUCACUUCUCAAAUUCAAAUUAUGCUCCAAAUAAUCAAACUUGAUCAAAAAUCUUGUCGAACAUUCCAAUUUUUGCCCUCGAGUGGCAAAAUGACCAUUUUGCCCCCUACAUUAUAAAAAUUUUCAAUUGGAUUCCAAAUUAAUCUUUGAACUCCGAAUCACCAUUCUAAGACAUUCUAAGGUUCAAUAACUCUCAAAUANUUUUGUAAUUUUUUUUUUCGGGACUCUCCUAGCAUUCAAUCAUGCUAUCAUCACAUGUUUGUCAUGAAUAGUAUUUUAUAAGAUCGGGCUUUACAAACAUGAUAAGUUUGUUGAUAUUUUCCACUGCUACAAUCCAUGUUUCCAUAGAAUCAAGCCAAGCCUGAAUGUCAUCAAAAGCAUAGCACAUGCCUGGCCUUUUCUCACAAUUUAAAUGUGCUUGAAUCAGCAGCAGCUGGUUCCCAGGUUAGUUGUUUGUACGCCUUCAGGUUCGGUUACCCUAGUUAUUAAUUAGUUUGUGUUCAUCCAAAGCAGGCCAUAUCAGCAAUUAGAAAGCCAUAUUAGUUUUAACUUUUUUCUUAAAGUUAUCAUUUUCGCUUGGGUCUUUUUCCUGCUUUAUAUAGAGUCCCUGGAGUAAGUGUAUUUGCUUAUGGUUCUGAUGGGCAUUGAGUUUGCAGGGUUAACUUUCUUCUCCCUCCCCCCCCCACACCUUCCUUCAACCUCCUUUUUCUUUCAAAAAAGAACUUUUAGAUGAUUCGAUGUCAUGUUACACUUAAAUAUUAUUGCAUGGUUCCUUAUGAUUUUCAACUUCAAUUGUAUUAAUGAUUAAGAACGAAUACAUGACAUGGUGAGCUUGAAUGUUAUGCUGCUGUGCGUUUGGAAUGCAAAUGGAUGGGAAAAGCUAGCAAGCAAGUUUAUGUGUUGUCUUUGGGCAGGCGGUAGACCCUUCAGUGGUCAACUUUAUUUAGUUUCGCCAAGAUCAGGUUCACCUGCUUGCUGUCCAUGAAAGGCUGAUAGGCAUAUACUAAGCACCCUUACUGAAUCAUGUUAUUCAGCUGAUACAAACAAUUCAGAAACUUCAGAUAGAUUCAUAUAGUAAUAGUAGUCUUCAAUCUGUACGAGUGAGUUUUCUGUUGCAUUGGGUUCCUAAAGAAGCAGACCUUCCAAUCACAUCUGCAACCUAUUCUUCAAAUGCUCAGUCAAUAUAUAUUAGCUUCAAAACUGGAUGUAUAAAGUUUCUUGUCUCUAC